UAGUGGCCAACGGGUGAGUAACACGUGAGUAACCUGCCCUUAACUCUGGGAUAAGCCUUGGAAACGGGGUCUAAUACUGGAUAUUGACUUUUCACCGCAUGGUGUUUGGUUGAAAGAUUUAUUGGUUUUGGAUGGACUCGCGGCCUAUCAGCUUGUUGGUGAGGUAAUGGCUCACCAAGGCGACGACGGGUAGCCGGCCUGAGAGGGUGACCGGCCACACUGGGACUGAGACACGGCCCAGACUCCUACGGGAGGCAGCAGUGGGGAAUAUUGCACAAUGGGCGAAAGCCUGAUGCAGCGACGCCGCGUGAGGGAUGACGGCCUUCGGGUUGUAAACCUCUUUCAGUAGGGAACAAGGCUAGUCGUUGACUGGUUGAGGGUACUUGCAGAAGAAGCGCCGGCUAACUACGUGCCAGCAGCCGCGGUAAUACGUAGGGCGCAAGCGUUAUCCGGAAUUAUUGGGCGUAGAAAGCUCCUAGGCGGUUUGUCGCGUCUGCCGUGAAAGUCCGGGGGUCAACCCGGAUCUCCGUGGGUACGGGCAGCUAGAUUAUGUAGGGAGACUGAAUUCUUGUAUAGCGGUGUGA
rnacentral:rRNA from 1 species